GACGAACGCUGGCGGCGUGCCUAAUACAUGCAAGUCGACCUUAGUGGCGGACGGGUGAGUAACACGUGGGAACCUACCCAUCAGAGGGGGAUAACACUUGGAAACAGGUGCUAAUACCGCAAACUAGCAGAUGAGCCUUGGGGGGAUUAGCUGGUUGGUGGGGUAAAGGCCGACCAAGGCGACGAUCCGUAGCUGGGCUGAGAGGAUGAUCAGUCACACUGGAACUGAGACACGGUCCAGACUCCUACGGGAGGCAGCAGUGGGGAAUAUUGGACAAUGGGCGAAAGCCUGAUCCAGCCAUGCCGCGUGUGUGAAGAAGGUCUUCGGAUUGUAAAGUACUUUUGGCAGAGAAGCGGUAUCUGCAGAAUAAGCACCGGCUAACUACGUGCCAGCAGCCGCGGUAAUAC
rnacentral:rRNA from 1 species